UACAGAGGGGGCAAGCGUUGUUCGGAAUUACUGGGCGUAAAGGGCGCGUAGGCGGCCUGCUAAGUCGAACGUGAAAUCCCUGGGCUCAACCCAGGAACUGCGUCCGAUACUGGUUGGCUUGAAUCCGGGAGAGGGACGUGGAAUUCCAGGUGUAGCGGUGAAAUGCGUAGAUAUCUGGAGGAACACCGGUGGCGAAGGCGGCAUCCUGGACCGGCAUUGACGCUGAGGAGCGAAAGCCAGGGGAGCAAACAGG
rnacentral:rRNA from 1 species